rnacentral:hammerhead_ribozyme from 1 species
GCUGACGAGUCCCAAAUAGAACGAAACGCGCGUUC